rnacentral:rRNA from 1 species
AGCGGAGGAAAAGAAACUAACAAGGAUUCCCUUAGUAACUGCGAGUGAAGAGGGAAAAGCUCAAAUUUAAAAUCUGGCAGUGUUUCACUGUCCGAGUUGUAACCUAGAGAAGUGUAACCUGCGCUGGACCGUGUAUAAGUCUCCUGGAAUGGAGCAUCACUGAGGGUGAGAAUCCCGUCUUUGACACGGACCACCAGUGCAUUGUGGUUGUGCUCUCAACGAGUCGAGUUGUUUGGGAAUGCAGCUCUAAAUGGGUGGUAAAUUCCAUCUAAAGCUAAAUAUUGGCGAGAGACCGAUAGCGAACAAGUACCGUGAGGGAAAGAUGAAAAGAACUUUGGAAAGAGAGUUAAACAGUAUGUGAAAUUGUUGAAAGGGAAACGUUUGAAGUCAGUCGCGUCGGUUGGGGAUCAGCCUGACAUUGUUGGGUGUACUUCCUGGUUGACGGGCCAACAUCAGUUUUGAUUGCCAGAAAAAGGCCAAAGGAAUGUGGCACCUUUGGGUGUGUUAUAGCCCUUGGUCGUAUAUGGUGGUUGGGACUGAGGAAAGCAGCGUGCCGAAAGGCCGGGUUUCGACCACGUUCACGCUGAGGAUGUUGGCAUAAUGGCUUUAAGCGACCCGUCUUGAAACACGGACCAAGGAGUCUAACAUGCAUGCGAGUGUUUGGGUGGAAAACCCUUACGCGUAAUGAAAGUGAAAGUUGAGAUCCCUGUCGUGGGGAGCAUCGACGCCCGGACCAGAACUUUUGGGACGGAUCUGCGGUAGAGCACGUAUGUUGGGACCCGAAAGAUGGUGAACUAUGCCUGAAUAGGGUGAAGCCAGAGGAAACUCUGGUGGAGGCUCGUAGCGAUUCUGACGUGCAAAUCGAUCGUCAAAUUUGGGUAUAGGGGCGAAAGACUAAUCGAAC